ensembl:lncRNA
GCCAAGCAGUGGGUUUUGGCUGAAAGAGUUCUCGAUGUAAAAAAGGAAACAAGCUUGUAAUGGUCCAGGAUAUAAUGCUGCUGAGAGGACUCGGAUCGCUUGCUCAGCAGAGUUCCAGAUGUCAGUAUGACUCUACUCACCAGAGAACCCUGAGAGACUGAGUUACAGUCCGCUUCUACAGAUAUGCCUCGUGCUUUGUAUCCCGCGAGGUGACCUUACAGCGGCCCAGUGGAGAGCUCUGAAGUAUUCCUCGUUAGAUGAGAGUGCUGUCUGUCUCCUUGUGUUUUCGGUUGAAAAUGAUGCCAUUACGCCUGCUCGCCACCUCUCUCUGUCACCCUAACGAAGCAUG